UUGAACGCUGGCGGCAUGCCUUACCCAUGCCAGUCGAACGGUAACAGGUCUUCGGAUGCUGACGAGUGGCGAACGGGUGAGUAAUACAUCGGAACGUGCCCAGACGUGGGGGAUAACGAGGCGAAAGCUUUGCUAAUACCGCAUACGACCUAAGGAUGAAAGCAGGGGACCGCAAGGCCUUGCGCGUUUGGAGCGGCCGAUGGCAGAUUAGGUAGUUGGUGGGAUAAAAGCUUACCAAGCCGACGAUCUGUAGCUGGUCUGAGAGGACGACCAGCCACACUGGGACUGAGACACGGCCCAGACUCCUACGGGAGGCAGCAGUGGGGAAUUUUGGACAAUGGGCGAAAGCCUGAUCCAGCAAUGCCGCGUGCAGGAUGAAGGCCUUCGGGUUGUAAACUGCUUUUGUACGGAACGAAAAGGCUCUGGCUAAUACCUGGGGCACAUGACGGUACCGGAAGAAUAAGCACCGGCUAACUACGUG
rnacentral:rRNA from 1 species